CGUUAGGCUUGACCGGGGAGCUUGGCGUGCCCUGUACCCGCAACCGUCAAUAGCGGGGGUGACAGCAGAGGGCGGCGAAGCUGAAGGUUCAAGCCCACAAAGCAACUAUGAAAUCUUGUCCUGCAGAGUCGGCGCGUGCGCAACGGACAGCCGGAGGGCGGCACUGGGCGUGCUAAUCGGGGAAACCGGGUCAGGUCCUGACGGGAGCAGCCUCACCUUGAGCUACUGACGUUUGCGGGGGAGCAGGGUUGAGGAGCGAUGUGGUAAACUUGAGUCCUGAUGCGACGUCCACCUCUGUGGCCUAACA
rnacentral:SRP_RNA from 1 species